CAUUGUAGAAUCUUGCACAUCAGAAGGACCAGAGAA
rnacentral:rRNA from 1 species